GCCCCUGUAGCUCAGGAGGUAGAGCGCAUCCUUGGUAAGGAUGAGGUCACCGGUUCAACCCCGGUCGGGGGCU
rnacentral:tRNA from 1 species